AGCGGCGAGUGAAGCGGCAAAAGCUCAAAUUUGAAAUCUGGCUCUUUCAGAGUCCGAGUUGUAAUUUGAAGAAGGUAUCUUUGGGUCUGGCUCUUGUCUAUGUUUCUUGGAACAGAACGUCACAGAGGGUGAGAAUCCCGUGCGAUGAGAUGAUCCAGGCCUAUGUAAAGUUCCUUCGAAGAGUCGAGUUGUUUGGGAAUGCAGCUCUAAGUGGGUGGUAAAUUCCAUCUAAAGCUAAAUAUUGGCGAGAGACCGAUAGCGAACAAGUACAGUGAUGGAAAGAUGAAAAGAACUUUGAAAAGAGAGUGAAAAAGUACGUGAAAUUGUUGAAAGGGAAGGGCUUGAGAUCAGACUUGGUAUUUUGUAUGUUACUUCUUCGGGGGUGGCCUCUACAGUUUAUCGGGCCAGCAUCAGUUUGGGCGGUAGGAGAAUUGCGUUGGAAUGUGGCACGGCUUCGGUUGUGUGUUAUAGCCUUCGUCGAUACUGCCAGCCUAGACUGAGGACUGCGGUUUAUACCUAGGAUGUUGGCAUAAUGAUCUUAAGUCGCCCGUCUUGAAACACGGACCAAGGAGUCUAACGUCUAUGCGAGUGUUUGGGUGUAAAACCCGUACGCGUAAUGAAAGUGAACGUAGGUGGGGGCCCGUAUGGGUGCACCAUCGACCGAUCCUGAUGUCUUCGGAUGGAUUUGAGUAAGAGCAUAGCUGUUGGGACCCGAAAGAUGGUGAACUAUGCCUGAAUAGGGUGAAGCCAGAGGAAACUCUGGUGGAGGCUCGUAGCGGUUCUGACGUGCAAAUCGAUCGUCGAAUUUGGGUAUAGGGGC
rnacentral:rRNA from 1 species